rnacentral:lncRNA from 1 species
GCAGCAGGUGCCAACUCUCUUAUUUCCAAAAUGAGAUGUUCUCCAGCCUCCUAAGCUGACAUUUAAGGACUGAUUUAGAGACCCCAAAGAACCACGCAUCCAGAGAAGACAUGGAGAUGCCACCCAGGGAAAACAUGCCAUUAUCCUGCCAGGGACUUGCAGGUGGGAGAAUUCCAUAUGCACAUUUUAAACGAGCAAAGCCCUCCGUGAAAGGACAAUUCCCUCAGCCCAAAACACCGCAAGACCCCUGCCAGUCGAAUGUACAUUUGCAGGGCCAGCAGCAGAAGAAACUUACAUGUGCUGUUACCCUCUUGCUAACCUCUCCCGAAGUCGUCCCUGCCACCUUUGGCAAGACACACUAGGAGGAGACAGCAGGACAUUCCCAGAAGUUCUGAUUUGCUUCUCCUUCAGAACCACUUUUCAAGGCAUUCAAAAGGGAAAACAACAGAGAUGAUGAGGAGGCUGCUGCUCCAUCAGGAUUUCUCAGCCCGUACUCCAGGAGCUGGGAACCCCUCGUCCAGGAUGAGAGAACUCACACGAACCCACUCUUCUCAGGGCGACAGCCAGGGAACAUGUCCUCCUGUCCAGUGUCUUUUGGAGCCAGAGCAUUAGUGUCGUCUGACACUAAUGAGAGCAUGUCAAGACAUCAGAAAUGCAAGCCCUGUGCUGGACACUCAGGGAGAGCCUGCAUUUUGGCAAGAUUAUGAGGAGAUUCAGAUAAACAUGAAGCCUGGAAUAACACUGCCUGAUACUGUUUAGAUCAAGAAUGUCCCUCAACGUCUGGUGUAUACAGAGGUGGCCUUUUGGAGUGUGGUGGGAUCACGGAGUACUAUGCUCACUGGUGGGCUGAUGCCCUGGCGAAUGCAUGGCUGAGUGCAGUUGGGAGGUUGGUCCUGCUGGGGAGGAGUGGGUCCCUGGUGGUGUGUCUUGAAGGGUUAUCUCUCUCUCCUCUUCUCCUUUCUCCCUCUGCUUCCUGACCACCAUGAUUAAGCAGCUUUCUCUCUGUCCUGACCCUCUGCAAUGCUGUUUCUGCUCUGGAGCCAGCUGUGAACUAUAACCCUGAGCCAAAAUAAACUCCUCCUUUAAGGUGAGGGUGUCAGGUAUUUUAUCCCAGGAAUGAGGCAAGUGACUAAGGCUCUUCAGGCCUGAGUAUGAGUCUUCCUUCCCAGGCAUUGGAGACCCAAGAAUUCAUGGCUAUAGCUCAUACCUCAUCAGAUCCAUAGUAUGCCCAAGACAGACAAGAAGGGCCCAAAACUCCCCAGGAGGUACUUUUUACUUAAUUUUUCUUACUUCCAUUGGCCGCCCCAAGUAACUAAUAGAUACAGCUACCCCAGAGGCCCCAUGGCUCCUCCCAGAAACAAUUGCUUUGACUGCAGUAAGAUUUUGUCAUGGGUCUAUCCCAGAAGACCCUGUCCCAAGCCUCUCUAGGUGACUCUGUCCCUCUGCAGCCCUCCCGAAUUACUCUCUCUCCUACCCGUGACUAACUAGAAAGUCUGACACUGCCUGUGAAGCCUCCCCACUCACGAGGCAGGUCAGUCCAUGCACUGUUUCCCUUUGUGCUGUAGCAUAAGUCCUCAUAAAGCCUCUUUGGAAAGGCAUAGUUUUACCCACCCAUGAUUUCUAUCUUGAAUAGAGGGUGGACUGGAACAUGAAAGUCUGGCAACACUAAGGGGAGUAAGCAGCCAGAGGAUGAUGGAAGGCCAUGGAGAACUGCUGUGGCAAUCCCUGAGGUAGAGCCUCAUACAGAAAGAAGACGACCCAUUCCCACAGAGAAUCCUGAGAAAAUGGAUUCAAGAACUAAGCAAGUGAGAAAAUUCUGUAUAGAUCCAUGUACCAGGAAGGCUGAGGGACUUGCUACAUGGCAACUCAUUUUCUCACUCCAUCGUUGUUAGUGUUUGGAAAAGGGUCCCUCAAAGGGCCAUGUGUUCAUUAAAGGCUUGGUCCCUAGCCAGCAGUGCUAUUUGCAAGCCGUGGAAUCUUGAGGGAGUGGGCUUAGUGAAAGAAGUUAGGUCACUGGGAGUAUAUCCUCCCAGAGGGAGCCCGGGCCCUCUCCUGCUCUCCGAAUUUGUUUCCUGACUGCCCUGAAGUGAGCUUUCUCCUCUACCAUGUGUACUCACCAUGAUGUACUGUUUCACCACUGCCUGAACAGACCCAGCUAACCAUAGACUGAAACCUCCAAACCUGAGAUAAAAUAAAUCUUUUUUCUUUAUAAGCUGAUUAUUUCAAGA